rnacentral:lncRNA from 1 species
CACCCGCCCACACGGUUUGCCGUGUUUUCACCCUUCUUUGUUCUCCACCGGUCUGGGCAGGGUCUGAGGACUCCGGAGAGCAAGGCAUGGGUCCGCCUCGUGCCGCAGGUUCCUGGCCCACGCCAGCCGUACCCAGUAGCACAAUGGGAUUUGAGGACACACGCCAGCUGCCUACACCUGAAGAAAGAGCCGCUGCACACAUGAAUUCACA